CUCUUUGAAUACACAUUUUUUUAUCUUCAUUUCCUUUCAGAGACGAAUGGAAAUAGAGAAAUUAAAUAAAUUCUUACCAUAAGUUAUUCGAUAUGUUUGGAACCACAUGAUAACUUUAUGAGGAAAUUAUCAUGAUUGAAUUGAUGAUUAUCCAAAUUGGAGGAUGGCGAGAAUUCUGGUUCUUUGGAAUUCUGGGUUACAAUUUUAUUCCUCUCUUCAUGAUAACGAACAAGAAAAGAAAAGUUUUCUAUUAGUUUUGCAAUCUUACUAUUCACCAUUGGAUCUCGCUGGAAGACUCAGUUGAAUUUUCCUUUGCUCUAUCAUUAUUUACAAUUGAACGAUUCCUGAAAUUUUCCUUUUACCUUUUAAUUGAUUAGUUUGUUCAAUUUUGUUGUGAAAAGUGAUUCUUACAAUGUUAUACAUCUUCAAACAUUUACCUGAACAUAAAUCGAUUUUGCGAAAUGAAAAAGUUAACUCAAAUUCGAACCACCAGAUGGCGAUGGUGAAGCAUAAAGAAAAUUUAAAAUUUUCUUCAAUUUGAAUUCUAAUUAAUAGUUGAGACAAUUUAAUCUCUUAAAUGUUUUGAUUAGAUGAUUUUUGUCUAAUUCUUUCUAAUUGAUAAAUUGGUAGGAAUAUGAUGUUGGUCGUUUGUGGACAGAUUUGCUCUGUAAUUUGAUCUGAAUUUCAAUUAGAAAAAAGAAAAUCAUUUUUUUCUCUUGAAAGUGUCAAUUGAUUUGUGAAACAAAAGUGAAUUGGUUACAUAUUUUGAUUCAUCAUUUUCCUCUUCCUUUUUUUUUGUAUCAUCAAUAUAAUCAUCAGCUUUUCAUGACAAUCAUCUUCAUCUUCCAUAAUCAUCAUCAUCUCUUUAUCAAUUUCCCUCAGGCAUUUGGCCCUCAUCUUUUUGGUUCAACUCUCAAUUCAAAUUGAUCAUUCAUCAAACAUCAUGGCUCUUUUAAUAUGUAAUAUACAUUUACAUGGAUGAGUACAGUUAUUAUCAUGAAGAAGAUGAUGAUUAUCAUUACUAAUAUUUGAUAAUCAUCAUCAUCAUCAUCAUAUUCACCAAAGUUUUACCACAGAAAUUGAUGAUCUAUCUCCCUUUUCUGUUUCCACUUUCAGGACGAUAAGAUCAAAAUGUUCCAAAUAGACAAAAUAAUAUCAUGUCAUCUGAUGCCAACUGAAAUGCUUCAACUGAUGAAAAUGUUUACAUUCAAUGAGAAGGCCCAACCACCACUUUUACAGAUGAAAUCAACCACUAAAUUAACUUAUUGUAAUAUGAUCUCUUAUAGACUUUGGUGAUGUUCACCUGUUGACUUUUGGUUAUCAUCAUUGAUCCAAUACCUGUAGGAAAAUGAUCACAGAAUGAGUUUAAUUCAUUUGUUUCUCUGUUUUCUAUCCUCCAUUAGGCCUAAGGAUGAGACACGAUGAUAAUAAUGAAAACUAAAGAUUGGAUUUUCUCUCUCUCUCUCUUUCUAUCAUUCAAACCUCAGAAUCAAUCAGCAAAUCUCAACAUGAUAAAAAUCCAUAGGAAAAGGAAAAUGUUAUUACCAUUGACGAAUCGGUUCUUUUAUCAAUGAACAUGAUUAUUAUUAUGAUUAUCUUCAUAUUUUUCAAGUAACUGUUAUUUUGAUGAAAUUCUAAUGAAAAAAGCAUCUUCCAUUUUGCUCUCUUUUUCAUUACAUACAGAUUCAUCAUCAUGUUAUUCACAAAAAAGAUGCAGUCAAAAAGGAAAGGUACAAAAACAGCAAAGACGGAAUAAUAUCAUUUACAGAGAUGAUAAAAAAAGGAUGAGAAGGAUAAAUCAAAGGAAGACAGAGAAAGAGAAAAGCCAAAAACAGCUAAUAUAAUAUGGAUGAAAUUUCUUGUUUUUCUCUAUCAAUGAAUUGAAGAUUCUGUUAUUUGCUUUUCAUUGACAUUGUUUACAUUGUAACCUGUUGGGACAUUAAUUCGUCUCUCUCCCUUUCUCUCUCGUUGACUACCAUUUCUAUUUAUCUUGAUCAUCAUCUUUCAACAACAACAGGAAUGAAUCAAAUGAUUCCAAUGUUGUUGAUGAUGAUAAUGAUGAUAUACUUACUCUCUCUCUCUCUGUCUCUAUCAUCCUUUUCUUUUUCAGCUACCUGAAUGUAAAUGGAAAAGCCUGCAAAUGGAGAAUCGAAAGAAAAGAAAUAAAGACACAGAGGAAGACAGAAAAGAAAGGAAAAUAAAAGGAGAGAUGAUACAUAACACAGAACAAGUAAAAGAUGAUAAAGAAGAGGGAAAAGCAUAUGAUGAAAGAAGGAGCAAUGGAGUAACAACAACAAAAAAGCCCAAGAGGAGGAUGAUGACGACGAUGAUGAUGAUGAUGAGGAAAAACAUGGAAACAUAUAAAUGUACACAUAUAAUAUUCUCAAGCCUGCAAACCACAUAGGCUGAGAUUGGCUCUAUAGUGAACACUUUUAACUGGAGUGAUGAUGAGGAUGGAGAUGAUUAGCUGUAUAUAUAAUAUUUUCUCUGCUUGGAUUGUUAUAGGGAAUUGUUAUUUUCCACUAUUUCCUUUCUUUCCUCUGUCAGUGUGUCACUUUCCACACUCAAGAUAAUCCAAAAUCGCAAUCAAUUAAUCGAGAGAAACAAGAAGUGCUUAAAAUUAGCGUUUCUCUAAUUCCUUAAUUGCUGCUCAAAUGAAAGAUUAACAUUUUUGUCUAAUUUUUUAAAGUUAAACAAAAAUGAAUCCAUCCUAAGUUGGUAAUGAUGAACCAAUAUUAUCAAGUUUAUCAAAAAGUCUAAACUUAUAUCAUAUGUAUUAUAUUUUUAUACUAAGAUUAGACAAUGAUUUAGAUAAUCGUCUUGAAAAAGAUUUUAUCAACUUUUCCUUUCAUCAACUAUCAAUGUAAUUGCAUUUGCUCAUUGAUCCUGAUGAAAAUCAACUUAUCCCUUUUUACAAUCAUUCAGUUAACUGUUUUUUACCUCUUCAUGUAAACAUCAUCACCACUUUCCAUAUGAAAC